AUCACGCGAGAAAAAGUGAGAGUUGUUGUGAGUGGGCGGAGCCUAAUUGUCAAUCAGCCGCGGACAUCCGACAUACAGCCAAAAUGGCCGCCCAGACUGCUACCACCAAAUUCUCUGAUAAUUAUGAUCUAAAAGAGGAGCUGGGCAAGGGUGCGUUUUCGAUCGUGCGGAGAUGUGUGCAGAAGGCCAGCAGUGCGGAAUUCGCAGCGAAAAUCAUCAACACCAAGAAGCUUUCAGCCCGAGACCACCAGAAGCUGGAGAGAGAAGCGCGAAUCUGCCGUCUCCUGAAACAUGCCAACAUCGUGAGACUACACGACAGCAUACCGGAGGAAGGGUUUCACUAUCUCGUCUUUGACUUGGUUACCGGUGGGGAACUGUUUGAAGAUAUAGUUGCUAGAGAGUACUACAGCGAGGCUGAUGCCAGCCACUGUAUUCAGCAGAUUCUAGAGGCCGUUCUACAUUGCCACCAGAACGACAUUGUGCACAGGGAUUUAAAGCCUGAGAACCUGUUACUUGCCAGUAAGCAGAAGGGAGCUGCGGUGAAGCUUGCAGAUUUCGGUCUUGCCAUCGAAGUGAACGGCGAUCAACAGGCAUGGUAUGGUUUUGCAGGCACCCCCGGCUAUCUGUCCCCAGAAGUCCUGCGGAAGGACCCCUACGGCAAGCCAGUCGACAUGUGGGCAUGCGGUGUAAUUCUGUACAUCUUGCUGGUGGGGUACCCUCCGUUUUGGGACGAGGAUCAGCACAAGCUGUACUCCCAGAUCAAGGCUGGAGCUUACGACUACCCUUCCCCUGAGUGGGAUACUGUCACCCCAGAGGCCAAGAACUUGAUCAACAGCAUGUUGAACCUGAACCCGGCCAAGCGCAUCACUGCGGAGCAGGCACUGAGGCACCCGUGGAUAUGUCAACGAGAACGUGUGGCAUCUCAGAUCCACCGCCAGGAGACUGUCGACUGCCUGAAGAAGUUCAACGCUCGCAGGAAGCUGAAGGGAGCCAUUCUGACCACCAUGCUGGCCACUCGCAACUUUUCAAACAUUCCUGCACAGAAUGCCCAUGCAGGAGUGAAGGUUAAACACUGUAAUACAGUGCCUGCACGACACAAAGUACCACCGGGCAAAAAACAACAACAACAGCAACAACAACAGCAACAACAACAACAACAACAACAGCAUGAUGUACAGAGAAAAGACGAGACUCCUGCGCCUGAACCUAAAAGCCCUACCAUAACAGCACUUUUAAAACCAAAGGGAGAAUCUAGUCUAUUUGCUGGACUUGUAACUGCGGCAAAGGCAAAAAAAACAGAACCCCCGUCAGACUCCAGUAUAGUUGCCACGGCAGCAAAGGCGUCGCCAAGUAAAAUCGAGGCCACUGCAUUUGACCUGGACAGAUCAGAUAGCGUCAUUCCUGCAAACCAAAUUAGGCAAAACUCGGCAGGCCAGGCUGGGACUAUGGCGGAUGCAGGUAAAAGCCUGCUGUCCAAGAAGACAGACGCCAAGGUUUGUACAGGUCACGCUCUGACAGCUGACAACUCCACGUCUCCUGCAUGCUCCUUCGUCCCCUCCCCUCCAAAAAAAACAAAACGCUCCCACCCGGCAGAGGGAAAUUCAACAUCGUCAAAUACUAGUGUAACGUUAAUGCAGGGGUCAGCUGAGGGCAGCAUUGUGGAGGACGACGAGGUCAAAGCUCGCAAGCAGGAGAUAAUACGGAUGACAGAGAAUCUGAUCGAGUGCAUCACUAAUGCUGAUUAUGAAGCUUACACUAAGAUCUGUGAGCCUGGGAUGACGGCAUUUGAACCCGAGGCUCUCGGAAAUCUGGUGUAUGGCAUGGACUUCCAUAGGUUCUACUUUGAACACGCGCUGACGAAGAACAGCAAAGCAACCAACACAACGAUUCUCAAUCCUCACGUGCACCUUCUAGGCGAAGAUGCAGCUUACAUAGCCUAUAUAAGGCUAACACAGUGCAUUGACAGGAAUGGCCUGCCAGUAACGAUGCAGUCAGAAGAGACGCGGAUCUGGCAGAAGCGGGACGGCAAGUGGCAGUGUGUGCAUUUCCACCGCUCAGGUCACCCCAGCUGCCCCGCCAAGUAGCCUCCUACAGAGCCCGUCUUAGUGUCAAGUAUAAACCAACUGGUCACCAUCUAAGUAAAAAAAUUGUUCCUUCACGCAGCGUCAUUUCAUCCUUAUCCGAUGGCAGGCGAGGAGUCCAUUGCACUGUGGGUAAUUGCGUCGCCUUGCAUUUCAGGUCAGCAGUCCCACAAUUCAGUUCUGUUCUCCGAUUGGUUUGUGAGGAUUUCUUACUAGUUUCGUUGCCCGUCGUUUCUUUAGACGCGGGCCGGCUCUCGGAGCUGUUUUAGUUUGCCAUGAAGGAUGACGGAAGUGACUCGAAAGAAAACAAUAAAGGGGGACAAACUUGCCUGUCGAAAGGUUUGAGGAAGGUGUUUUGUUGCCACGGCAACAGGAGGCAGCCGGCCAGGGGCCAGAGGUUGAAGGUUAGAGGGCAAAGGACUCUCAGACAGAGUGCCAGUGAUUGGUAGGUAGUUAAACAGACAUUGCUGCAAUGGGAAACGGAGGCAAGACUGGUGGCAACGUGUGCAGUUGCCUGAGUUUGAUCUCAUUUUAAUGAUGGAAUAAUAACUUUUUUCAUGAGGAACAGAUAGGGAUAUGAUUUCAAGACGCUUUGCGUUCGGCCACAUGAAGAUGGCUUCUCGUGGUGGAGAAAGUUGCAUGGACUUUUUCAUUCAGUUGGACUUAAGCAAGAUUUUAGGAACUCUCUGCUUUUAAUAGGUGAAGAUUUUAUGACUUGGGGCAGUUCUAGCCCAGCUUAUAUGUACCUACGGUGCAGAGAGAUGAAAGAGGUCAGGGGUCGUCGUACCCAUGCAAGCCUCGCUGCAUUUCUGGGUACUCUUCAUUGUGAAAUAAGAUACAACAAUAAUCAGCACAAACCGCUUGUAUUUGAUCUUAACCAAACCAACCAACCUAACCAACUCUAGCUAGUGUGCGUAGUGUGAAGUCAAGUCAUAGCAUUUUGACAUCAACUUUUUUCUAACAAUGCAAGCCACUAAAAUUCCUGAGCGAAUUAUCCAUAACGAUAAUUGGAGAAUUUUCAUGCCGGACCUUGUAUGAAGCGGAGGGAGAGCGUUUGUCGGUGUUGUUGGUGUCAAACUUUGCCAACCUGUCGUGUAUUUGUAGUGGUGUAGAAAGUGUGCUAAUUUUCCUGGUAGGUAGCAUGUGCCCUCGUAUGUAUUUUGCUGCAAUAUCAACUACCUUAGAUAGGAAAUACUCUCUGGUUACUGAAGUGCAAAAGGGCAAAGUUCAGAGGUCAACUGUCAUGAGCUUUACCUGUGCAAUCUGGGGAGAAUUGUUGAACUUUGUGAGGCCAACUUGAGAUAUGCUCUGACUAUAGGUAAUCUACACAUUGUAUCAAGCUAUAGGAAAUUAAGGAACAUUACCACAUCAUAUUUGGACAAAGGAAAGACUAGCUACAAGUUUGAUUAUGCAUCAUGUAGUAUAUGGAGAUACGAAGACGUUUGAUCAAUUGUUUGUCUAUAUUAACGGACGUUUGUAAAGGAGCUACUAGAAAAGCAUUUCUGGCUUCAAGAAUGUAAAUAUUAUGGUGCAGUACUGACCUUCAAACAACCUCAUGUUUCUUUGGGGGGGGGGGAAUUAUUUAUUGAUUUUGUAUAACUUUCACGGUUUAAAGAUCUAGUUCGUGUGCAUUUCAAACUCACGUACGUUUAACUUUCAUCAAAUCACUUGAAGCGUAGGGAUUCUUUUCUAGUGAGCUUCUUCCGUGCUGUAGGUAUGUAGGUAAAACUAUGUUAAUUUAUGAUAAUUACAUCACAAUGCUGCUGAUGUUACUACUUAUGUAUCGAUCCUGCGUGCACAUUCUUUCCACAUUUCACUUCUUGUUCGAAAAAAAUAGAGCAGAAAAAAAACUUUCUGAUGGUCAACUUCUUGGUGAGGAAUGAACUGCUGAACUUGGACACAUCUUUAAACGAUGUGCUGAGAGCUUGGAAGAUUAUGUACAUGUAUAUAACAAAAGAAAAGGUCCAACAUAAUGUACUGAGGCAUUUAUUCCAUGUAGUGGCCAUGGCAAUUUGAAGAAUCCGUUUAAUGAAAAGAAUUUCCUGCUUGUGUUUAGAACUAAUAUGAUAAGACAACGCCAUUGACAAAGAAAUCUUUCAGAAAAAAAUGGCAGGUAUGGUGGAUGGGAAAUGGUUUAACCGCAAACCUUGUUGGAAGUCUUGGAACUACAUCUCAAGAUGGUCGAUUUUCUAAAUACACACCAUAACUUCACUUACCUUGCAGAAGCAAACGUACAUUGAAACUUUUAUUCUUACAGCCGACAGAAAGGGAAAACUAUUUGACACAGUUUGCAAUUUGUUGUUGAGAUCCACAAAACUAUGUUUAAGCUAAGCCCCAUGUCAGAACUGGAGUUUUUGACAUCAAGUACUGAAUGGUUGUUUUCUCUCUCUAAUGAUAAUUCAACUUCCGACACUAGCAAGUCCCAGCCAGAAGUAGAUAGGCUAUACAAAUUCAGCUGUUCUACUGUUUCAUGAGAGACGUAGCUUUCGCUAACAAACAAGUAUGAACAGUGUUUGCCUGAUCAUUCAGAAGGGAACGAUGUUUGAUUGGGAAGGGAAGACAUCGGAGACUUCUUGGCAGCUUUCUUCAUCUUAUUUUGCUGUUUGGUUUUAGAUAUGUCUUACAUUUUGUCUGAUCCUGGGAAAAGUGAAAACUGCUUCUUGAAGAUGGCUGGGAACUGUCAAGGCAAUUAAUAAGACGCUUUGACUUUCUCUGACUCCAAAUUCCAACUUUCUUCAUUUGUUUGUUUUAGAGAUAGCGGCAGGCCGGAAAACUUGUCCCAUACUUCCUCCUCCUGACAGCUCUUGAUAAAACAUCAACGUGACAAGUCUGAUUUUCAGUACAGUGGAAUCUGGCACUGAGUAGAAUUUUACUUCUGAGAAUAACGUCAUCAGGUUGGCAGAUCAUAGGAUAUUGGAGUUUCCUCUUACACAACCAGUUAUUCAUACCUGCUGGCAUUCCCAUGCCUGUCAGACAUCUUCAUCAGAGCUUUAACUGCAAAAGCACCACCUACAUCGGCUACAUGUAGUGUGGAGAAGGAGACCUCCAGUUAAAAACUCUGAGGAAGUUGUCUGACAGGCAUCGAAACGUCAGACAUCGGGUAAGAAAUCUGGUUUUGGAAAAGAAAACCCCACUAUCCAACUUAAGUUUAAGUUGGACCUACUAAAGCUAUAAAAAGCUGUACCCUUGUAAAAACUAUCUAGUACCUAUGUGAAGCCUACCUAUGAUUGCCCUCAGCAACACUCUUAGUAUAUGGAUAGAUAAAUUGCAAAGCAAAUGUUCCUCGGAGCAAAAGGCCUUGUUUGCUUCGGACGUUUCCAAGUUGUGAUUAAGACUGAAACUCCUUCUGUAUUACGCAGCCAACAUAUGCAUUGGCAGGAUGGAUCAACCAAUCGUCAAAUGUUUUACAAAGCAACACAGACAUUGUGACCAAUCAAGGAUCAGCCUCUUCUGUCGUUUGGCUGGACAUCUCCAGUACAAUUAUAGACAGGAACCCCAUUUUUUUGUUUCCCAGUCUGUAUGAUAAGCAGAGAAGUAGCUAGCCACAUAUGUCCAGUGUAGUGAGUAGUGCUGUAGUCUGGUGUAGACUUUUACUGUUGCUGAGACCUCGGAACAUACUUCAUGUUGAUAACGCUUUUAGAUGUCUGACAUUCAAUACUUCAAUAAACUGGAGAUUUACCAGUCCAA